rnacentral:rRNA from 1 species
UACGUAGGGGACAAGCGUUGUCCGGAAUCAUUGGGCGUAAAGAGCGCGUAGGCGGCCCGAUAAGUCCGCUCUGAAAGUCAAAGGCUCAACCUUUGAAAGCGGGUGGAUACUGUCGGGCUAGAGUCCGGAAGAGGCGAGUGGAAUUCCUGGUGUAGCGGUGGAAUGCGCAGAUAUCAGGAGGAACACCAACGGCGAAGGCAGCUCGCUAGGACGGUACUGACGCUGAGGCGCGAAAGCGUGGGGAGCGAACAGG